UGAGUUUGAUUCUGGCUCAGGAUGAACGCUGGCGGCGUGCUUAACACAUGCAAGUCGAACGAACCUUCGGGUUAGUGGCGGACGGGUGAGUAACGCGUGAGAAUCUGCCCUCAGGAGGGGGAUAACGGUUGGAAACGACCGCUAAUACCCCAUAUGCCUAUUGGUGAAAUGAAUUUCGCCUGAGGAUGAGCUCGCGUCUGAUUAGCUAGUUGGUGAGGUAAUGGCCCACCAAGGCUUCGAUCAGUAGCUGGUCUGAGAGGAUGAUCAGCCACACUGGGACUGAGACACGGCCCAGACUCCUACGGGAGGCAGCAGUGGGGAAUUUUCCGCAAUGGGUGAAAGCCUGACGGAGCAACGCCGCGUGAGGGAUGAAGGCCUCUGGGCUGUAAACCUCUUUUCUCAAGGAAGAAGAUAUGACGGUACUUGAGGAAUAAGCCACGGCUAAUUCCGUGCCAGCAGCCGCGGUAAUACGGGAGUGGCAAGCGUUAUCCGGAAUUAUUGGGCGUAAAGCGUCCGCAGGCGGCUUUUCAAGUCUGCUGUUAAAACGUGGAGCUUAACUCCAUCAUGGCAGUGGAAACUGAAAGGCUUGAGUAUGGUAGGGGC
rnacentral:rRNA from 1 species